AUUGAACGCUGGCGGCAGGCCUAACACAUGCAAGUCGAACGAGGGGCGGACGGGUGAGUAAUGUCUGGGAAACUGCCUGAGGGAGGGGGAUAACUACUGGAAACGGUAGCUAAUACCGCAUACUAUUAGAUGUGCCCAGAUGGGCUUAGCUUGUUGGUGGGUUAACGGCUCACCAAGGCGACGAUCCCUAGCUGGUCUGAGAGGAUGACCGGCCACACUGGAGCUGAGACACGGUCCAGACUCCUACGGGAGGCAGCAGUGGGGAAUAUUGCACAAUGGGCGCAAGCCUGCUGCAGCCAUGCCGCGUGUAUGAAGAAGACCUUCGGGUUGUAAAAUACUUUCAUCGGGGAGGCGUUACCCGCCGAAGAAGCACCGGCUAACUCCGUGCCAGCCGCCGCGGUAAUUC
rnacentral:rRNA from 1 species